UACGAAGGGGGCUAGCGUUGCUCGGAAUCACUGGGCGUAAAGCGCACGUAGGCGGAUUGCUAAGUCAGGGGUGAAAUCCUGGAGCUCAACUCCAGAACUGCCUUUGAUACUGGCGAUCUUGAGUCCGGGAGAGGUGAGUGGAACUGCGAGUGUAGAGGUGAAAUUCGUAGAUAUUCGCAAGAACACCAGUGGCGAAGGCGGCUCACUGGCCCGGAACUGACGCUGAGGUGCGAAAGCGUGGGGAGCAAACAGG
rnacentral:rRNA from 1 species